GAUGAACGCUGGCGGCGUGCCUAAUACAUGCAAGUCGAGCGAACAGACGAGGAGCUUGCUCCUUUGACGUUAGCGGCGGACGGGUGAGUAACACGUGGAUAACCUACCUAUAAGACUGGGAUAACUUCGGGAAACCGGAGCUAAUCCCGGAUAACAUGUUGAACCGCAUGGUUCAACAGUGAAAGACGGUUUUGCUGUCACUUCUAGAUGGAUCCGCGCCGCAUUAGCUAGUUGGUAAGGUAACGGCUUACCAAGGGGACGAUGCGUUGCCGACCUGUGAGGGGGAUCGGCCACACUGGAGCUGAGACACGGUCCAGGCUCCUACGGGAGGCUGCAGUAGGGAAUCUUCCGCAAUGGGCGGAAGCCUUACGGAGCAACGCCGCGUGAGUGAAGAAGGUCUUCGGAUCGUAAUACUCUGUUAUUAGGGAAGAACAAAUGUGUAAGUAACUAUGCACGUCUUGACGGUACCUAAUCAGAAAGCCACGGCUAACUACGUG
rnacentral:rRNA from 1 species